rnacentral:rRNA from 1 species
GACGAACGCUGGCGGCAUGCCUAACACAUGCAAGUCGAACGAGACCUUCGGGUCUAGUGGCGCACGGGUGCGUAACGCGUGGGAAUCUGCCCUUGGGUUCGGAAUAACAGCGAGAAAUUGCUGCUAAUACCGGAUGAUGACGUAAGUCCAAAGAUUUAUCGCCCAAGGAUGAGCCCGCGUAGGAUUAGCUAGUUGGUGAGGUAAAGGCUCACCAAGGCGACGAUCCUUAGCUGGUCUGAGAGGAUGAUCAGCCACACUGGGACUGAGACACGGCCCAGACUCCUACGGGAGGCAGCAGUGGGGAAUAUUGGACAAUGGGCGAAAGCCUGAUCCAGCAAUGCCGCGUGAGUGAUGAAGGCCUUAGGGUUGUAAAAGGCUCUUUUACCCGGGAUGAUAAUGACAGUACCGGGAGAAUAAGACUCCGGCUAACUCCGUGCCAG